CCUGGGUAAAGCGGUUGCGGCGGCGUCACGGGCGGCCCUAGGUUGCCUGAGAUGGACCUCUCCUGGCUCGGCACGCCGAUCGGCCCGAUGGUCCGGGUCCA
rnacentral:tRNA from 1 species